CGGUGAAAUGCGCAGAUAUCAAGAGGAACACCGAUGGCAAAGGCAGGUCUCUGGGCUGUAACUGACGCUGAGGAGCGAAAGCAUGGGGAGCGAACAGGAUUAGAUACCCUGGUAGUCCAUGCCGUAAACGUUGGGCACUAGGUGUGGGGGACAUUCCACGUUUUCCGCGCCGUAGCUAACGCAUUAAGUGCCCCGCCUGGGGAGUACGGCCGCAAGGCUAAAACUCAAAGGAAUUGACGGGGGCCCGCACAAGCGGCGGAGCAUGCGGAUUAAUUCGAUGCAACGCGAAGAACCUUACCAAGGCUUGACAUGGACCGGAAAGACCUGGAAACAGGUGCCCCGCUUGCGGCCGGUUUACAGGUGGUGCAUGGUUGUCGUCAGCUCGUGUCGUGAGAUGUUGGGUUAAGUCCCGCAACGAGCGCAACCCUCGUUCUAUGUUGCCAGCGGUUCGGCCGGGGACUCAUAGGAGACUGCCGGGGUCAACUCGGAGGAAGGUGGGGACGACGUCAAAUCAUCAUGCCCCUUAUGUCUUGGGCUUCACGCAUGCUACAAUGGCCGGUACAAAGGGUUGCGAUACUGUGAGGUGGAGCUAAUCCCAAAAAGCCGGUCUCAGUUCGGAUUGGGGUCUGCAACUCGACCCCAUGAAGUCGGAGUCGCUAGUAAUCGCAGAUCAGCAACGCUGCGGUGAAUACGUUCCCGGGCCUUGUACACACCGCCCGUCAAGUCACGAAAGUUGGUAACACCCGAAGCCGGUGGCCUAACCCUUGUGGGGGGGAGCCGUCGA
rnacentral:rRNA from 2 species